rnacentral:rRNA from 1 species
UACAGAGGUCUCAAGCGUUGUUCGGAUUCAUUGGGCGUAAAGGGUGCGUAGGUGGCGCGCUAAGUCAGGUGUGAAAUUUCGGAGCUUAACUCCGAAACUGCAUUUGAUACUGGCGUGCUUGAGGACUGGAGAGGAGACUGGAAUUCAUGGUGUAGCAGUGAAAUGCGUAGAGAUGCGGAGGAACACCGAUGGCGAAGGCAGCCCCCUGGGCUAACACUGACGCUGAGGCACGAAAGCGUGGGGAGCAAACAGG